rnacentral:rRNA from 1 species
GAUGAACGCUGGCGGCGUGCCUAAUACAUGCAAGUCGAGCGAACAGACGAUGAGCUUGCUCCUUUGACGUUAGCGGCGGACGGGAGAGAAACACGUGGAUACCCUACUUAUCAGACUGGGAUCAUCUCGGGACACCGGAGCUAAUACCGGAUAAUCUAUUGCACCGCAUGGGUCAAUAGUGAAAGACGGCUUUGCUGUCACUAAUAGCUGGUUCCGGGCGGCAUUAGCUAGUUGGUACGGUAACGGCUUACCAAGGCAACUAGGCGUAGCCGACGUGAGAGGGGGAUCGGCCACACUGGAGCUGAGACACGGUCCAGGCGCCUGCGGGAGGCAGCAGUAGGGAAUCGGCGGCAAUGGGCGGAAACCUGACGGAGCGAGGCGGCGUGAGUGAUGGAGAUGUUCGGAUCGUAAUGCUGUGUUAUGGGGUGAAAACAGAUGUGGAAGUAGCUGUACACGUCUUGACGGUACCUAGUCAGGAAGCCACGGCUAACUACGUG